rnacentral:rRNA from 1 species
UCUAUUAGAACUAAUUAAUAGUAAAAUCUGCUCAAUGAUAUUAAAUAGCCGCUAUUAUUGUGCUAAGGUAGCAUAAUCAUUUGUCUUUUAAUUAAAGACUAGAAUAAAAGAUUAAACAUUUUAAUUAAUUUAUCAAAAUUAAAUAUUAAAUUUAUUUUAAAUGUAAAAAAACAUUUAUAUAUUAGGAAGACGACAAGACCCUAUUAAACUUUACUAAAGUUUAACUGGGGCAGUUAAUUAAUUAUUAUUUUAAUUAUAUUACAAAAUAAAUCAGACCCUAUAAAAUAGAUUAAAUGACCAAGUUACUAUAGGGAUAACAGUGUAAUAUUAAUUUAAAGAUCUUAUUAAAAUAAAAGAUUACAACCUCGAUGUUGAAUUAAUAACCUAUAUUAUAA